rnacentral:rRNA from 1 species
AGCUCAUAUCUAGCUCGCCCGCUCAUACAAAACCACCGAACCAACCAAGCAAACCAUUUGCCAGAGCCAAUAAAUGCGAUUGAACCCUACAACGACGCAAUAGUAAAAAGUACCGCAAGGGAAAGAUGAAAUAUCACCAACCACAUAAGCAACAUAAAGCAGGGAUUGACCCCCGUACCUUUUGCAUCAUGAUCUAGCAAGAACCCCCAGGCAAAGAGACACUUCAGUCUGCCCCCCCGAAAUCGAAUGAGCUACUUCAAGGCAGCCAACAGACCUAGCCCAUCUCUGUAGCAAAAGAGUGGGAUGACCUCGAAGUAGGGGCAAAAAACCUAACGAACUCGAUGAUAGCUGGUUACCUGAUAAAAGAAUCUUAGUUCGACUUCAAGCUAUCACACACACUAACUAGUAGUCCAUUGCUGACUUGAAAGAUAUUCAAUAGGGGUACAGCUCUAUUGAACCAGACUACAACCUGUUGUAGAGAACAACCUUAAUAUUACAACCAGUGGGCCCUAAAGCAGCCACCAUAAAACUAAGGCGUCACAGCCAAACUCUUAAAAAUCUCAAUCCGCCUCCCCCUUCCUACAGACCCAUCAGGUAAUUCUAUAACCCUAUAGAAGAACUAAUGCUAGAAUUAGUAACAAGAAUACCCUCUCUCAGCACCCCUGUAACUCAGCCAUAGAACACCUACUGACAAUUAACAGACCAAAAAAGGCCUAAUAUUACACCCACAAGGCAAAAAUCUUACCCCCUGUUAAUCCAACACAGGCCUGCUUUUAAGAAAGAUUAAACAUCAAAGAAGGAACUCGGCAAACUCAAGUCUCAACUGUUUACCAAAAACAUAGCCUUUAGCAAAAAAAGUAUUAAAGGUCCCGCCUGCCCAGUGACUAACCAUUAAACGGCCGCGGUAUCCUAACCGUGCAAAGGUAGCGUAAUCACUUGUCCCCUAAAUAGGGACUAGUAUGAAUGGCUAAAUGAGGACUUAGCUGUCUCCUUUGAUUAAUCAGUGAAACUGAUCUACCCGUACAAAAGCUGGUAUAAACACACAAGACGAGAAGACCCUGUGGAGCUUAAAACACCUAUGUCAAACCAGCACCUUCUGCCAAAAAUGACAUAGCGUUUUCAGUUGGGGCGACUACGGAAACAAGCCAAACUUCCAAGCCAGAGGCCUACCCCUCCCACCAGAGACAGACAUGUCAAAUUACCACCUGACCCAGAGCCACUCUGAGUAACGAACCAAGUUACCCCAGGGAUAACAGCGCUAUCUUCUUCAAGAGUCCCCAUCGACAAGAAGGUUUACGACCUCGAUGUUGGAUCAGGACACCCUAAUGGUGCAGCCGCUAUUAAAGGUUCGUUUGUUCAACGAUUAAAGUCCUACGCGAUCUGAGUUCAGACCGGAGAAAUCCAGGUCGGUUUCUAUCUAUGUUAAAUUCUCCUCAGUACGAAAGGACCAGGAAAAUAGGGCCCAUCUUUACAAGAAGCCCCUCCAGCAUAGUUGACAAAAACUUAACCUAAACCAAGACAAUAACCCAAGCCCAAAACCAGGGCUAAAAU